rnacentral:rRNA from 1 species
UACGUAGGGGGCUAGCGUUGUCCGGAAUCAUUGGGCGUAAAGAGCGUGUAGGCGGUCCGGUAAGUCCGCUGUGAAAGUCGGGGGCUCAACCCUCGAAUGCCGGUGGAUACUGUCGGGCUAGAGUGCGGAAGAGGCGAGUGGAAUUCCUGGUGUAGCGGUGAAAUGCGCAGAUAUCAGGAGGAACACCGAUGGCGAAGGCAGGUCUCUGGGCUGACACUGACGUCAUGCACGAAAGCGUGGGGAGCAAACAGG